rnacentral:rRNA from 1 species
AAACUCAAAGGAAUUGACGGGGGCCCGCACAAGCGGAGGAACAUGUGGUUUAAUUCGAUGAUACGCGAGGAACCUUACCUGGGCUUAAAUGUAGAUUGCAUGAGGUGGAAACACUUCUUCCCUUCGGGGCUAUUUACAAGGUGCUGCAUGGUUGUCGUCAGCUCGUGCCGUGAGGUGUCGGGUUAAGUCCCAUAACGAGCGCAACCCUUACCGUUAGUUGCCAUCGGGUCAAGCCGGGGACUCUAGCGGGACUGCCACCGUAAGGUGAGAGGAAGGUGGGGAUGACGUCAAAUCAGCACGGCCCUUAUGUCCAGGGCUACACACGUGUUACAAUGGCCGGUACAGAGGGCAGCUACCUGGUGACAGGAUGCUAAUCCCGAAAGCCGGUCCCAGUUCGGAUUGGAGUCUGCAACUCGACUCCAUGAAGUCGGAAUCGCUGGUAAUCGCGUAUCAGCGUGACGCGGUGAAUACGUUCCCGGGCCUU